GUGCCGGCGUGGCCGGCGUUGCCGCCGUGCCCGCCGUUGCCGCCGGAGGGGGCGGUGGUCCCGCCGGUCCCGGUGUCGGCGCCGGCGUG
rnacentral:tRNA from 1 species